UACGGGGGGAGCAAGCGUUGUUCGGAUUUACUGGGCGUAAAGGGCGCGUAGGCGGUCAGCACAAGUCAGUUGUGAAAUCUCCGGGCUUAACUCGGAAAGGUCAACUGAUACUGUGCGACUAGAGUGCGGAAGGGGCAACUGGAAUUCUCGGUGUAGCGGUGAAAUGCGUAGAUAUCGAGAGGAACACCCGCGGCGAAGGCGGGUUGCUGGGCCGACACUGACGCUGAUGCGCGAAAGCCAGGGGAGCAAACGGG
rnacentral:rRNA from 1 species